GACGAACGCUGGCGGCGUGCUUAACACAUGCAAGUCGAACGGAAAGGCCCUGCUUGCCGGGUACUCGAGUGGCGAACGGGUGAGUAACACGUGGGUGAUCUGCCCUGCACUUCGGGAUAAGCCUGGGAAACUGGGUCUAAUACCGGAUAGGAGCCAUUUUUAGUGUGAUGGUUGGAAAGUUUUUUCGGUGUAGGAUGAGCUCGCGGCCUAUCAGCUUGUUGGUGGGGUAAUGGCCUACCAAGGCGGCGACGGGUAGCCGGCCUGAGAGGGUGGACGGCCACAUUGGGACUGAGAUACGGCCCAGACUCCUACGGGAGGCAGCAGGGGGGAAGAUUGCCCAAGGGGCGCCAGCCGGAUGCAGCGACGCCGCGUGGGGGAUGACGGCCUUCGGGUUGUAAACUCCUUUCGCUAGGGACGAAGCUUUUUGUGACGGUACCUAGAUAAGAAGCACCGGCUAACUACGUG
rnacentral:rRNA from 1 species